UACGGAGGAGGCAAGCGUUAUCCGGAAUUAUUGGGCGUAAAGCGUCCGCAGGUGGCACCUCAAGUCUGCUGUCAAAGACCGGGGCUUAACCCCAGAAAGGCAGUGGAAACUGAAGUGCUAGAGUGCAGUAGGGGUAGAGGGAAUUCCCGGUGUAGCGGUGAAAUGCGUAGGGAUCGGGAAGAACAUCGGUGGCGAAAGCGCUCUGCUGGACUGCAACUGACACUCAGGGACGAAAGCUAGGGGAGCGAAUGGG
rnacentral:rRNA from 1 species